AAGGCUAAAUACUCCUGACUGACCGAUAGUGAACCAGUACCGUGAGGGAAAGGCGAAAAGAACCCCGGCGAGGGGAGUGAAAAAGAACCUGAAACCGUGUACGUACAAGCAGUGGGAGCCUCUUAAUGGGGUGACUGCGUACCUUUUGUAUAAUGGGUCAGCGACUUAUAUUCUGUAGCAAGGUUAACCGAAUAGGGGAGCCGAAGGGAAACCGAGUCUUAACUGGGCGUUAAGUUGCAGGGUAUAGACCCGAAACCCGGUGAUCUAGCCAUGGGCAGGUUGAAGGUUGGGUAACACUAACUGGAGGACCGAACCGACUAAUGUUGAAAAAUUAGCGGAUGACUUGUGGCUGGGGGUGAAAGGCCAAUCAAACCGGGAGAUAGCUGGUUCUCCCCGAAAGCUAUUUAGGUAGCGCCUCGUGAAUUCAUCUCCGGGGGUAGAGCACUGUUUCGGCAAGGGGGUCAUCCCGACUUACCAACCCGAUGCAAACUGCGAAUACCGGAGAAUGUUAUCACGGGAGACACACGGCGGGUGCUAACGUCCGUCGUGAAGAGGGAAACAACCCAGACCGCCAGCUAAGGUCCCAAAGUCAUGGUUAAGUGGGAAACGAUGUGGGAAGGCCCAGACAGCCAGGAUGUUGGCUUAGAAGCAGCCAUCAUUUAAAGAAAGCGUAAUAGCUCACUGGUCGAGUCGGCCUGCGCGGAAGAUGUAACGGGGCUAAACCAUGCACCGAAGCUGCGGCAGCGACACUAUGUGUUGUUGGGUAGGGGAGCGUUCUGUAAGCCUG
rnacentral:rRNA from 1 species